GUGGAUUGCCUUCUCAUAUGUAAAUUAUAUAAAGUGAAUUAGCCUUGUGGGAAACAUCUUCUAGAACCAUAAAAGACAACAACUAUUAAAACCAUAAAAAUUAAAAAAAAAAAUACAUGAAUAGGGACGGACAGAGUAAUAGAACCAUAACAAAGUCCAUUAAGCUGCAGCAAAUCUUGCAAAAUACAUUAAAUAUUAGGACUAAAAAGUAGAAACUAAUAUUGUUUCUUAAGGAUUUUCAUAAUAAUAAAAAAAUAAAUUUAAAAAAACCUAAACAUAGUUAUUAUUAUUUUUUUUUUAUAGGAUAUGAGAUGAGUGAGAGCUGCUUGAUUUUUUCACCUCUUUGCUUUCUAUGGUUUUUUCUGCUUCUUUUAGCAGUUUAGUAGACUAGUCAGUUGGAGAUAAACUUUUAGAGAAUUUGAUUUAGGUUUGGAGUUUAUGGUUGAAAGUGUCAUACAAAAACUAAAUUUAGGUUGUAAGAGUUUAAGAGUGUAGCAAUAUUUUUAAAUUAAUUAAUAUUUUAAAAUAAUAAUUUAUAAUUA
rnacentral:misc_RNA from 1 species